UCUUAUGUACAUUCCUACAUUAUUAAUGCACCAGAUACCAUUAUAACUCUUCAUUUAAGUGUGCUUGGGAUAGAUUAGUACUGGUAUGGGUGACCUCUCGAGAAGUCCUAGUGUUUUACAUGCC
rnacentral:rRNA from 1 species